rnacentral:rRNA from 1 species
AUUGAACGCUGGCGGCAGGCCUAACACAUGCAAGUCGAACGAGUGGCGGACGGGUGAGUAAUGUCUGGGAAACUGCCUGAUGGAGGGGGAUUACUACUGGAAACGGUAGCUAAUACCGACUACCAUAAGAUGUGCCCAGAUGGGAUUAGCUUGUUGGUGGGGUAACGGCGCACCAAGGCGACGAUCCCUAGCUGGUUUGAGAGGAUGACCAGCCAAACUGGAACCGAGACACGGACCAGACGCAGACGGGAGGCAGAAGUGGGGAAUAUUGCACAAUGGGCGCAAGCCUGAUGCAGCCACGCCGCGUGUAUGAAGAAGGCCUUCGGGUUGUAAAGUACUUUCAGCGGGGAGGCGUUACCCGCAGAAGAAGCACCGGCUAACUCCGUGCCAGCAGCCGCGGUAAUUC